ACGGCGAGUGAAGCAGCAAUAGCUCAAAUUUGAAAUCUGGCGUCUUCGACGUCCGAGUUGUAAUUUGUAGAGGAUGCUUCUGAGUAACCACCGACCUAAGUUCCUUGGAACAGGACGUCAUAGAGGGUGAGAAUCCCGUAUGCGGUCGGAAAGGUGCUCUAUACGUAGCUCCUUCGACGAGUCGAGUUGUUUGGGAAUGCAGCUCUAAAUGGGAGGUAAAUUUCUUCUAAAGCUAAAUAUUGGCCAGAGACCGAUAGCGCACAAGUAGAGUGAUCGAAAGAUGAAAAGCACUUUGGAAAGAGAGUUAAAAAGCACGUGAAAUUGUUAAAAGGGAAGGGAUUGCAACCAGACUUGCUCGCGGUGUUCCGCCGGUCUUCUGACCGGUCUACUCGCCGCGUUGCAGGCCAGCAUCGUCUGGUGCCGCUGGAUAAGACUUGAGGAAUGUAGCUCCCUCGGGAGUGUUAUAGCCUCUUGUGAUGCAGCGAGCGCCGGGCGAGGUCCGCGCUUCGGCUAGGAUGCUGGCGUAAUGGUCGUAAUCCGCCCGUCUUGAA
rnacentral:rRNA from 1 species